rnacentral:lncRNA from 1 species
GGAACCAGCUUGAGUUAGAACUAAAACAGGAAAAAGAAAGAAGAUUACAAAACGACAGGAGCAUCCCAGGAAGGGGUUCCCAGAAGUCAGAAUCCAAGAUGGAUGGGAAGCACAAAAUGCAAGAGGAAAAUGUUAAACUAAAAAAGCCCCUGGAAGAAAGCCACAGGCUGCAACCCCACCCUAUGGAUGAACAGAAUGUGUGUAAGAACUGCAGCGGAACCUUCUGUGAUGCCUGUUCAACAAAUGAACUGCCUCUUCCUUCAAGUAUCAAGCUUGAGCGAGUUUGCAAUCCCUGUCACAAGCAUCUGAUGAAGCAAUAUUCUACCAGCCCAUCAUAAGACUGGAGGCCAAGACCUGGACCAAAACGUUUAUGCAGGCUCCUCUGUACCUGUGUUUUAGCUGUCAGGAUCUCAUAGAGCCCAGUUCUUAGAGUCAACUAAAGAGUUGAUAGGAAUUUACUAGGUCCAGGGAGAAAAGGCAGUGGUUGGGGUUACUGGAAAUUUUGCUCAUUUUCUCUAAUGACUGUAUGAAUAAAAGUGAACUUACUUGAGCCUUUCUCUUCUAAAUCUAAACAACCUGAUAUUGAAGGUUUGCUUUAUAGCAUAUCUUUGGAAAGGCAACUCAUUUUUAUGAUUAGUGAUACUGGGGUGGAUUUAAUAGGAGAGAGAAUCCAGGCAGAUAA